rnacentral:ncRNA from 1 species
UAAAAUGUUAUGACGGAGAGGAUUAGAUAGGUAAGUGUACCAGAGAGGACAGUUCGUGGGCUGAAAGACUGUCUUGCUUACUGCUUAUUGAAGUAGCUCCCGAACUGUAUCUUUGAAGAAGAGUAGGAGAUACCGGGCGAUCCCGUUACAGAGAAAAGGCAGCUUGAUCUAUGCUGUAAAUAAAGGUGGUACCACGGUUCUUCGUCCUUUCU